rnacentral:rRNA from 1 species
AAGGCUGAGUUGUGAUGGCGAGGGAAAUAUAGUACCGAAGUUCCUGAUUCUACGCUGCCAAGAAAAGCUUCUAGCGAGGAAAUAGGUGCCUGUACCGCAAACCGACACAGGUAGGCGAGGAGAGAAUCCUAAGGUGAGCGAGAGAACUAUGGUUAAGGAACUCGGCAAAAUGACCCCGUAACUUCGGGAGAAGGGGUGCUCUUUUGGGUGCAAGCCCGGGAGAGCCGCAGUGAAAAGGCCCAAGCGACUGUUUAGCAAAAACACAGGUCUCUGCGAAGCCGCAAGGCGAAGUAUAGGGGCUGACGCCUGCCCGGUGCUGGAAGGUUAAGAGGAGGGGUUAUCCCUUACGGGAGAAGCUCUGAAUUGAAGCCCCAGUAAACGGCGGCCGUAACUAUAACGGUCCUAAGGUAGCGAAAUUCCUUGUCGGGUAAGUUCCGACCCGCACGAAAGGCGUAACGAUUUGGGCACUGUCUCAACCAUAGACUCGGUGAAAUUAUAGUACCUGUGAAGAUGCAGGUUACCCGCGACAGGACGGAAAGACCCCGUGGAGCUUUACUGCAGCUUGAUAUUGAAUUUUGGUACAGCUUGUACAGGAUAGGUAGGAGCCUGAGAAGCCGGAGCGCCAGCUUCGGUGGAGGCGUCGGUGGGAUACUACCCUGGCUGUAUUGAAAUUCUAACCUAGAGCCGUAAUCCGGCUCGGAGACAGUGUCAGGUGGGCAGUUUGACUGGGGCGGUCGCCUCCUAAAGAGUAACGGAGGCGCCCAAAGGUUCCCUCAGAAUGGUUGGAAAUCAUUCGAAGAGUGUAAAGGCAUAAGGGAGCUUGACUGCGAGACCUACAAGUCGAGCAGGGACGAAAGUCGGGCUUAGUGAUCCGGUGGUUCCGCAUGGAAGGGCCAUCGCUCAACGGAUAAAAGCUACCCCGGGGAUAACAGGCUUAUCUCCCCCAAGAGUCCACAUCGACGGGGAGGUUUGGCACCUCGAUGUCGGCUCAUCGCAUCCUGGGGCUGUAGUCGGUCCCAAGGGUUGGGCUGUUCGCCCAUUAAAGCGGUACGCGAGCUGGGUUCAGAACGUCGUGAGACAGUUCGGUCCCUAUCCGUCGUGGGCGUAGGAAAUUUGAGAGGAGCUGUCCUUAGUACGAGAGGACCGGGAUGGACACACCGCUGGUGUACCAGUUGUUCUGCCAAGAGCAUGGCUGGGUAGCUAUGUGUGGAAGGGAUAAGUGCUGAAAGCAUCUAAGCAUGAAGCCCCCCUCAAGAUGAGAUUUCCCAUAGCGUUAAGCUAGUAAGACCCCUGAGAGAUGAUCAGGUUGAUAGGUCAGAGGUGGAAGCGUGGUGACACGUGGAGCUGACUGAUACUAAUCGGUCGAGGACUUAACUA